GGCCGGUGAUGCAGAUUGAUAUUUGCUACUCUUGAUGGGAAGUGAUCCUUCCCAUCUGAUGAAUCUUAUCCACCAAGAUCUCUGAGGCC